CGCCAGCACGACGACGACGCCCGCAGCGCACAUCGAACCCACACCAAACCCGAAAUCGUAAAGGCUUGUUGAGAAUCUGUGCGUGCGCGCCUUUCUGUUCUCCUUUCUUCUUGUUGUUACAUCUUCUUUGCCACAUCCGCGCAUCCUUCUCCACCACCACCACCAUCACUCGCUGACACCCACGCACGUACCUCGCUCUCUCGCACUCGUCGUGAUCUUUCGUGUCGUGCGUGUGUCCAGGUGUGGCGUGCAGACCUUGCGUGCAGCUGUGUGUGAGUGAGUGUGUGUCGACCAGCGUUCGUGUGCAGUGUGCGGUGUGGCUGACCUGCUCGCCGCCUCCCUCCCUCUCUCGUGCUUCGUCGCCGUCGUUUCGCUUUUCUUUCGUGUUUUGUGUAUCACGUCGUCUUUUGCGGCGGCGCCUCGCGUUGCGCUCGCUCGACCCGCACGCACGCCAUCCUUGCAACUCCACGCCACCAACGUCAACGGAGCCACUUCUCCAGCAUCCGCACGUCCUGGCCCCUCCCAAGCCGUCUCCGCGCUGACGACCUGUGGCGGUAACGCGAGUCAGAGCAGGUCGAAGAGGGUGAGAGAGCCCCGAGUCAAAGAAGGAAUGGAGCAACCGCCGCAGGAACAGUGGAGCUCGCGAUCGCCGCUGACGAUGAGCGGCAGGUUAGCACCGCUUCCACAGCCACCUCUGUCCGGGUUCAACUACCGCCGCGACCCCGCGUUGAUGAUGGCCGAGGAGCCCACGCCGCCGGGGACAAUCACGAUUCAAGAUGCACGCGCGGCGCCAACCGCUGGCCUGCGACGUCCGCACUGCGGGGAGCCUCACUUCAAUGCCGCGAGCGCGGCCAGCAGCAGCCCCGUCCCACCAAUCGCCAUCCCGUACAUCGCGCUCCACAACGUCGGGUGGAAGGACUCCAACUUCAAAGGUCGCAAGUGGGUCAUCAUGCCAAUGGUCGCGGGGUUCGAGUCCACCUUCAUUGCCAACACGCUGCAGGGGCUGCUGUGCUUGCCAGGGUGCGAGUCCGCCAUGAUGGGCGAAUCCGCCGUGACGAGCAGCGGUGACGGUGGUGGCCGUCACGGCAGCGCGGGCACCCUCGGGCAAGACGACAGUCGUAGGUGUGGGGAGUCGGGAGUGGUGCUGCAAUCUUCGGGCAGCUCGUCGCUGGCAGAGCUGCCGCAGCCGCAGCAGCAGCAGGCCCACGGAGCAGCCGCUGAUGACGACGACGGCUUGGAGCAGCACUCCCACGCGCGCUCGGCUUCUCCAGAUGGCGCGGAUGAGCACUCGCUGAGCUCCUCCGUCACGUCGGAUCCGACGGCCACCGAGGACCGCACCGCUCGCUCUUUGAGUGAAGAAGGCGGUGACGCCGGCAAGGGCUCUAGUGCGAGGAGGGCAGAGGCGGCCAAAAGCCGCGACGCCGGUCACUCGCCUCAGGUGCUUCGCGGCGGUAUUCGCAGCCAGUGGGGGACUCGCGUUAAGACGGCAGCCUCGCGCACGUACGCCGCCUACGUGAUGCAGCACCUCAGCGACGCGAACAUCCAGCUGAGGGCGCCGGUGCCUCACGACGGGCUCCCGAGCGACGCCCCGGUGACAGACACGCAGGUGGACGACGCCGAAGAGCUGGAGUCGCUGCGAGGGCAGUCCGCCACGGUACCGCGCUGCUUGGCCCCCGUGGCGCUGCCGAAGGAGCCGAGGACCGCGCCGCAGGUCUCAGGCGGAAGCGGCGCAAGCAAAUCGCGCGCGCACGUCAGCAUCUUUCUGACCCAUGAAGCAAAGGAAGACGAAGUCUGCACAUCCACCUGCGGGACCACCUCCGCGGCCGGCGCCGAGCCGUCUGAGCGCUCCGUAACGACGACGACCGUCGCGCCGGCGGCUAUGCCGCCCGGAACGGCUUCGGCGACUGCGAUCGCUGCCGUCUCGCCCCCGGAGAAGGCGGCGGUGCUGAUGGGGCUGGAAGAGGGUCACAGCUCCGACGACAACAACUCGCCGACGCCGAGCAGCCGGGAGGAAGAAGAGGAAGAAGAGCUGUGGGGGUCAACGGAGGACACGAACACUGGGCAGGCCGGUGGGGCAGCGCAGAACGCGGAGGCGACGCGGAUGACCAACCGCCAAGUGGCGCAGGACGGGUCGCGCUACACCUGCUUCGCCAGCAACUGCGUCGAUAACAUGCCCAACUACCCGCUCCCGCAGCUGCAGAGCGAGGACCUCGUUGAUCUGGCGGCCUUCAUGGUCGUUCGCAGCUCACUGCAGCCGGAUGAGGCCACGGACCUGCAUCUCGGCACCCAUGUCUUGGGCGACCCCCAAAACGUACGGAUGCUGCCGCCUGAGCAGCGAGCCGCGUUGAUGAGCCGCGCAGCACGGCUGAUGGAAGCUGCAGUGUUCCUCCAAGUGUAGCGUCCGGCAGGCGUGUGUGGAGGUGGGGGGGCAUGUAGACGUGUGGCCGCACGUGUCCUGUGCAACGCCUCUCUCCCACGCAUACGCACACACGCUGCUGCCGCAAGCAUAAGUGCCACACACCGGCACACAUGCGUACGGUGGGGUGCUGCAGUGUGGCUCUUGCCGAUCAUGUCUCCCUCUAUCACUCUAUUCCUCGGCCCUCACGUGGGCCUCGACGCGUUCUCUGGUACGAUGCUCUCAAGAUCUCCUAUUAUCGCAGUGCGUGUGUCUCAGUGGGUGCGUGUACGUGCCUGAUGCGUGUUUUACUCCUGUGGGGAGUCGAUGUGGCUGCUGUCGCCUGGCCCUUUCCUUUUAUUGCUCUUCCCUUCUUUCUCUCGUCCCCUCAUGUGCACCGCCGCCGUGUGUACGUCUGUAUUUGUUUCUGUGUGUGUGUGUGUGUGUGUGUGUGUGUGUCUGCGCGUGUGUGCACGUAUGUGGUCCCCCGAUAUCCUCCUUCCUCCCCUUCUCUGAGUGAGCUGGUAUGGUGCUGUGGCUGCUGCUCGAUGGAUGUGAGCUACGUAGACCCGCAUGUACCUCUAUCUGUGCGUGUGUGUGUGUGUGCGUUCUGUGAGUUUGCUUCGGCUUUCGCUGUAACGUUGGCCUUCGCGCUGCUCCUGUUCCAGCGCUCGUCCUGUCUUCCUCCAUCUUUCAGACCCCUAAGUCCUUCUUCGCUGGAGUUGUGAGAGAAGGAUAGGAUGGUCGGCGCCCCUGUGUUCGUGAUGUUGGCGCCGCCGCCUCCCUCCUUCCGCCCGCUUCUUUGCCCAACACGCCUGCGUCGGCAACUGUGCGUGCGCGUGUGUGCGUGUGAAGCCCCUGUUAUCUGGUCUAUGUUACCAUCCCCCUCUUGUCGUAGCCUGUCCUGCGUGUGCGUGUGUGUACGUACGCAUAAUGGGCGCCAUCCGUUGGUGUGGAUAAAGAGUUUGCAGUCGAAGCGCGCGCGGACGCCAGGCAGGCCGCGAUGUCGCAGUCUCGCGUCCGUGUGCGUCAGCGAUUCGAUGUGCCUGUCUGCGUGCUCGAG
rnacentral:misc_RNA from 1 species